ensembl:lncRNA
GAAGACAGAAUCAGGACGAUGAGGACAUUUUCUUUUGAUCAGGAAGACUGAACACGAUCCCUUCUGCCAUUAUGGAUGAGACCCCACUGUGGGCUGGAGAGAUGGCUCAGCAGCCAAAAGCACUGGCUGCUCUUGCAGAGGACUCAGGUUUGCUGUCUUGCACCCACAUGGCAGCCCCCACACAUCUGUAACUCCGGUUUCAGGAAAGACCUUCUGCUGGCUUCCCUGAGCUCCAAUCAUGCCCAAGGGGACUUCUGGGUGAGACCCUUUCCGUGAAGCCCAAGAGACAAGAAGAGAACAGAACACCACCUGGGAAAAGAAAGCGGGUACAACUUUGUCUGAAAUGAAUCGGUGUGGGCGAGCACGCGGAUAAGAGAAUGUAAUGUGAGAACUGAGCACAAGCUCGACACACAAAAUGAG